GUUCGUUUCUCUGAGUCCUGUAUGCUACCCAUGCUAGCAUACUUCCCUCCCUCCUGACCGUUUAUCUUUUUUUUUUUUUUUUUUGGUUUUUCAAGAUAGGGUUUCUCUGAGUAGCUUUGGAACCUGUCCUGGAACUAUUUUAUAGACCAGGCUAGCCUGGAGCUCACAGAGAUCCACCUGCUUCUGCCUCCGGAGUGCUGGGAUUAAAGGCAUGCGCCACCAAUGCCCAGCCAGAAAUUUAUUUAUUUUUGAGACAAGUUUGCACAGUGUAGUCCUGAUUGGAACAGACUAUGUAGAAUGGACUGGCCUUGAACUCACAGAGAUCCGCUUGCCUCUGCCUACCGAAUCUUGGGACUAAAGGGUCUACUUAUUUUGUGUGUCACCCUACCUGGCCCCGAUCUCUUCAUUUACAAAGGGUAGACCGGGAAGCAGGUAUCACUUGGGUGGGGAGGGCCCGUGGAUGCCUUUAUCGCUUCUUGACUUCUCAUCCUCAUUCCCCAGAGAAACACUGACUCAUUGUUAUGGACAAAUGUGGUUGCCUGGAAAAAAUUACUUUUAAACUGUGUCUCUUAAGAUUUUUCCAGUCCUUUUCGCCUCAUCAUUAUCAUGCAACUUAAAGAAAAGAAAAACUCUAAGCAGGCAGGAAGGUAGGAGCCAAGGAGAUCAUCUUUGCACUAAGAGUCAGCAGAGCUUAGAUCUAAUGCCUUUUGUUGGCCUACACGGGCAUCUGCACACAGACCAAAGGAAACUGGCUUUGAAGAUGACACAGUCAAGCCUUUUUCAGACC
rnacentral:lncRNA from 1 species